UCUCACACCAAAAUUGUAUUUGAUGCUGAGGAGCCUAAGGAGCUACCUAAAACAGAAUCAUCAAUAGAAGAGAUUGCUGCCUAAAUCACAAGAACCAGACAGAGGUCAUUGAAGAGUUAUAAGGGAUUUCAGGUAGUGACCCACACCUAACACAGAACAUCCAUUGCCUGGGAUGGCUGCAAGGACAAGGACCGCCUACGUCCUACUGAAAUGUAAUGAAGCUAAUGAGCUAACGAGGAGCUGCCAGCCCAAUGUUGGUCUCAAGUGGGAGAUGUUGGCCUGAACCUGUUCCCGUUGCAGCGAAUGAUGAGUUGCUCAGCUGUUAUCAUGGGAGCGGCCUCAAAUCCUUCAUUUGUCUGGUUUGGAGUUAAAACUGGGGGGAGGGGCAUACAAAUAAUGGUGGAAAGGAAUGAUUAAACAUGAGCCUAAGGUUGUGCUUGCAAGCUGAAUUACUGCUAUAAGAAAGGGAAUCUCUCAGCUGAUGGGUUGGUUUUGCCACAUUGUCAUUAUUCUGAAUUGCACUGCCAAUUGUUGCCAAUUUAAGGCUGACCCCAGCUCCCAUCCUGUUGUUCCUGGCUCUCUGGGGACCGCCAGUUUCUGUCUCAAAGCAGGCUGGAGAGGAGAAGGGAAACCAGAAAAGCUGCUACAGCACUGGGAUGAUCACACAGCUC